CAAUGGGAAAGGAUGUCAAAGAAUAGUUUCACAUUCUGCUGUUUAAUGGUUAUGGUCAUUAUGUAUUAUUGUUGGAACCUGGCGAUACAAGCCACUGAAUAUACUGUGAACAGAGAUACUUCAAACCUGCUGUUCUCCUCUUCAAUAACAUACCAAGUAAGGGCAGAGAAGACCAUCAUAAUCACCAUAACCAUCACUGCAGUACGGUGAAUAUGCCUUAACAGAAGUGCAGAUGCUAACAGGUCGACUGUGUCCCCCAUCCUGCCGAUGAUAAAUGAACUAAUAUGGAUCAGCGACGGAAUGAUACUGAAGGGUCUCGAAGAAAAAUAUAUGUCAGUACUCCUAUAUCCUCUACACAUCCCACUGGACUGACCUAGCAUUAAAUCAAAGUGACCACAGUGAGAAGCUGGCAACUGCCUGAGCUAUGGCAUGGCCUCCAUCACAAGAUAAAUUAUAUCUCAAACAGUUAAAAGUAUUAAUCUGUUUCAGUACUGUAUAAUGAAUAUGAGUAUUGUAGAACAUCCUCAGCUAUGUCCAAAAGGAUGUGAUCAUUUACAAAUACCACACUAUCAAUGUUAUAAUUUCUGCUAAAUGCAAAGCUUCAAUGUCUGGUCAGUCUCCAUUUCUGUAUUAUUUUGUUGAUAUGUAUGAUGAAUAGUAAUGGUGAGAUUAUUGCCUUGCCUCACACUUGUUUAUUUCUUUCCAUGCUAUGAAAUUAUAAACACAACUAACAGCAGUAAAAAUGAAGGUGACAUAUGCAGGA